rnacentral:pre_miRNA from 2 species
CUGACAGAAGAGAGUGAGCACACGCAGGCAAUUGUAUAGAGGACUAUACUCUUGUUUGAGUUGCGUGUGCUCACUUCUCUUCUGUCAG